rnacentral:rRNA from 1 species
CUCGGUGGUUAUAUCGUAGGGGUCACACCCGUUCCCAUCCCGAACACGGAAGUUAAGCCCUACGGAGCCGAUGGUACUGCAUGGGUAACUGUGUGGGAGAGUAGGACGCUGCCGGGG